rnacentral:rRNA from 1 species
AUAACGACUCUCGGCAACGGAUAUCUCGGCUCUCGCAUCGAUGAAGAACGUAGCGAAAUGCGAUACUUGGUGUGAAUUGCAGAAUCCCGUGAACCAUCGAGUCUUUGAACGCAAGUUGCGCCCGAAGCCRUCCGGUUGAGGGCACGUCUGCCUGGGCGUCACGC